AUUUUAGAUUUCCUUCAACAAAAAGCAGGUAGAGACAACGGCCUGCGUCCCUCCAGCCUUUUGUUAAUGCUGUAAUGAGAACUAGACCAUUCACAGGUGUGCUUCAAGUCUCCUCAGAGAAGUCUGUGAGCUUAUCAAAAGAUCAAGGUGCUAACCCACUUCAACAGUGCUCUCCAUCCCAGCCUGGCGGCUGCAGAAGGCCUUCUCCUGAUGGUAUUUCAAUGCCAACUUUCUAGAUGCAACCAAAGAGGUGGGUGUAGACGCUCCCCACGUCUCUGGUUCAUCCAUCAGCAACAACAAUGCCAUCUGGUUACCGGGGACCAACGAGGCAUGAAAUGUCUGGAAAAGCAGCUGUCUUCCCCUUUACCUGGUUAAGAAUUACUAAUUAGGUGAGAAAGUUGCCUUUAGCUAUAAACUGCUGAAACUAGA